rnacentral:rRNA from 1 species
CCUACGGGCGGCAGCAGUGGGGAAUAUUGCACAAUGGGGGAAACCCUGAUGCAGCAACGCCGCGUGAGUGAAGAAGGAUUUCGGGAUGUAAAGCUCUAUCAGCAGGGAAGAAGAAAGACGGUACCUGACUAAGAAGCCCCGGCUAACUACGUGCCAGCAGCCGCGGUAAUACGUAGGGGGCAAGCGUUAUCCGGAUUUACUGGGUGUAAAGGGAGCGUAGACGGCUGGGCAAGUCGGGAGUGAAAGCCCGGGGCUCACCCGCGGAACUGCUUUGGAAACUGUAUAGCUUGAGUACUGGAGAGGCAGGCGGAAUUCCUAGUGUAGCGGUGAAAUGCGUAGAUAUUAGGAGGAACACCAGUGGCGAAGGCGGCCUGCUGGACCGCAACUGACGUUGAGGCUCGAAAGCGUGGGGAGCAAACAGGAUUAGAUACCCUGGUAGUC